GUUUUUGUAGUUGAAAACAACGGUGGUUUUUCAUAUCACAGGUUCUGGUUUAAACCCAGGCUAAAACU
rnacentral:tRNA from 1 species